UUAUCUCGCGGCAGACGCGCGCGCGAAGAAAGAUAAAAACGGUGGCGGCGUUGGUGGAGGCGGCGAUGGUGACGGUUACAACGACGACGACGACGACGACGACGAUGAUGGCUCCGCGAUGAGUACGAGUUCAGUUCAGCUACACCUACCCGUCGACGCACACGAGUUCUGGCCAUCGACCGUUGCGGGAUUUAAUUUUAUAUUUUCAAAAUAUUUUCUUCCCGCCAAUAUCGACAAGACGAUCUUAGCAUCGUUUUCAACAUACUUUCGUCUAUUAUAAAUUAUUAAGAUUACAAUAUUAUUACAGUUCUAUAUAGGUACCUAUACACGAUGUGCGGCAGUAUAAGAAAUAGCGUGUCGUUGUGCUCGAAAAUCGAUCGAACAAAUAACCACCGAAGCUGUCAACCUGGAUUAGACGGUUCCAAUAGCCGACCUAGACCUAUAACAGCUGUACAAAACUGAAGGAACAUGGCUUUUAAAAAUCAAAUAGACCUGCACAAUAUCCAAUACGUGGAUUUUCACCACACCGGAACAAAAAUGAAGACUUCGACCGACAUUACCAUCAACAGGCCGAAACCAUUGUUUCCAAAACCUAGUUGCUAAAUAAUCAUGAUUUAUUAUAUUAAUAAAUCUAAUGUAUAUAAUUAAAUAUAAGUACUUUUCUUCCCUUGGUAGUUCGAAAUGGAAGUUUCAAGAACAACCCCUACUACGUUUCAGUUAGGCAAACAAACUAACUUUUUGUAUUUUUUACUCGGUACCUGAAAUAAGUUUGCCUUUCGUACGGGGUUGAUUGAAAUCGUACUUACAUUGUGCUACUAUUACUAUCUUUUAUUACAUUUUGUCUGUAAUUAUUUUUAUAUUUAUUUAAAUAUAUUUUCAUACAUGCAUAUAUAUCAUUGAUGUAUAACAAAUAUAAUAAUAUAAUAAUCAUAAUUAUAUAUUAAACAUAUUACAUUGUAAAUCAAUAUAAAAUAUAUUUAAUACAAACUAUGUUUAAAAAUAUAUAUAUUAUUAUGCUUAAUUGAUCUAUACCUACAUAUGUAUUUAGAAUGAAAUUUUCUAAUAAACCUCAUGUAUGUCACAA